rnacentral:rRNA from 1 species
UACGAGAGCCUCAAGCGUUAUCCGGAAUUAUUGGGCGUAAAGAGCGUGUAGGCGGCCAGGUAGGUCCGGUGUGAAAACUCGAGGCUUAACCUCGAGAUGUCAUCGGAAACCAUCUGGCUAGAGUCCGGAAGAGGAAAGUGGAAUUCCUGGUGUAGCGGUGAAAUGCGCAGAUAUCAGGAAGAACACCAAUGGCGAAAGCAGCUUUCUGGGACGGUACUGACGCUGAGACGCGAAAGCGUGGGGAGCGAACAGG